rnacentral:rRNA from 1 species
UGGGGAAUAUUGCACAAUGGGCGCAAGCCUGAUGCAGCGACGCCGCGUGGGGGAUGACGGCCUUCGGGUUGUAAACCUCUUUCAGCAGGGACGAAGCGAAAGUGACGGUACCUGCAGAAGAAGCACCGGCCAACUACGUGCCAGCAGCCGCGGUAAUACGUAGGGUGCGAGCGUUGUCCGGAAUUACUGGGCGUAAAGAGCUCGUAGGUGGUUUGUCGCGUUGUUCGUGAAAACCGGGGGCUUAACCCUCGGCGUGCGGGCGAUACGGGCAGACUAGAGUACUGCAGGGGAGACUGGAAUUCCUGGUGUAGCGGUGGAAUGCGCAGAUAUCAGGAGGAACACCGGUGGCGAAGGCGGGUCUCUGGGCAGUAACUGACGCUGAGGAGCGAAAGCGUGGGGAGCGAACAGGAUUAGAUACCCUGGUAGUCCACGCCGUAAACGGUGGGUACUAGGUGUGGGUUUCCUUCCUUGGGAUCCGUGCCGUAGCUAACGCAUUAAGUACCCCGCCUGGGGAGUACGGCCGCAAGGCUAAAACUUAAAGGAAUUGACGGGGUCAUAGCUGUUUCCU